GUCUGUAGCUCAGUGAAAGAGCAUCUGUCUUGCAUGCAGAAGGGCUGGGUUCAAUUCCUUGGCAUCUCCA